rnacentral:rRNA from 1 species
AUUGAACGCUGGCGGCAGGCCUAACACAUGCAAGUCGAGCGAGCGGGGGACGGGUGUGAAAUGUAUGGGGACUGCCCGAUAGAGGGGGAUAACUACUGGAGACGGUAGCUAAUACCGCAUACUACAGGAUAAUACAUAUGGGAGUAGCGAAUAGGUGGGGUAAUGGCGCACCGAGGCGACGAUCCCUAGAUGGUCUGAGAGGAUGAUCAGCCAACCUGGAACUGCGACACGGCCCAGACUCCUACGGAGGCAGCAGUGGGGAAGAGUGCACAAUGGGCGCAAGCCUGAUGCAGCCAUGCCGCGUGUAUGAAGAAGGCCCUAGGGUUGUAAAGUACUUUCAGUCGGGAGGCGUUACCGACAGAAGAAGCACCGGCUAACUCCGUGCCAGCCGCCGCGGUAAUUC